rnacentral:rRNA from 1 species
AGGACGAACGCUGGCGGCGUGCUUAACACAUGCAAGUCGAGCGGAAAGGCCACUUCGGUGGUACUCGAGCGGCGAACGGGUGAGUAACACGUGAGUAAUCUGCCCUCCACUUUGGGAUAGCCACCGGAAACGGUGAUUAAUACCGGAUAUGACGCGUGCCCGCAUGGGUGUGUGUGGUAAAGUUUUCGGUGGGGAUGUGCUCGCGGCCUAUCAGCUUGAGUGGUGGGGUAAUCGGCCUACCAGUGGCUU